rfam:Dipodomys ordii contig_52331, whole genome shotgun sequence.
GGUGGCUCAGUGGUAGAGUGCUUGCCUUGCAUGCAUGAGGUCCUGGGUUCGAAUCCUCAGCACCA